AAUAAUAUUUCCAUAAAACGAAAACAAUACUGAAAACAUGUAAUAGUAGUUUAAUAUGUUUAUUAUGGUUUGUUUAAAUAACAUACAAUGUGUUGAAUGAGAAGCAUAAGUUACUGCUGCUGUCGGAUCGCGUGAAGCUUGAUGUGUCGCCAUAAAAACUCAAACAAGUCGAUUAAAAAUUGCUGUUUAAAAAAAACUCACACCAGGGACAGUUGUGACAUCACCAUCACCUGAAGGUUAAAAACAAGAAGUGUCGGUAUAUUCCAUGUAUUAAACACUCGACUCGACUGACUGUCCCACUGUAGAGAUACAGCAUGUCUCUGUGCUUUUAUAUUUGCUCAUUGAAGACUAAGCUAUUUGAAACUUGGGCAUUGCAUUUUACAGACAGAAUCCUGCAACCUCCCACUCAGGAACCAGGAACAUCAACAAAUCACCUCCAGAACCCCAUGAUGAUAUUCCAACUCCUGUCUACAAAAGUGGGAAGAAAAUCUUAAGUCUACAUAUGAAACAGUCAUUGUGAGUCUUCUAGAAGACAAUGAAACGUGCCAUGGUCCAGUGGUUGAUGAUUUCAUGAAGUGGUGUGAUGAUGCUUGUUUGCAGAUUAAUGUAUGUAAUACUAAUAUAUUUUUAUCAGAAAUUUGAUUGUUUGUGUAGGGCUAUGUAUUCUUUUAUGUACUCUUUUAUUUUAUAGGCAAUAAAUAUGC